rnacentral:rRNA from 1 species
UACGGAGGGGGCUAGCGUUGUUCGGAAUUACUGGGCGUAAAGGGCGCGUAGGCGGCCACCGCAAGUCGACUGUGAAAUCUCCGGGCUUAACCCGGAAAGGUCAGCCGAUACUGCGGGGCUAGAGUGCAGAAGGGGCAACUGGAAUUCUCGGUGUAGCGGUGAAAUGCGUAGAUAUCGAGAGGAACACCUGCGGCGAAGGCGGCUAUCUGGACGGUUUCUGACGCUAAGACGCGAAAGCGUGGGGAGCAAACAGG